CCUACGGGUGGCAGCAGUGAGGAAUAUUGGUCAAUGGGCGCGAGCCUGAACCAGCCAAGUAGCGUGAAGGAUGACUGCCCUACGGGUUGUAAACUUCUUUUGUCGGGGAACAAAGGCGGAGACGCGUCUCCGGAUGAGUGUACCCGAAGAAAAAGCAUCGGCUAACUCCGUGCCAGCAGCCGCGGUAAUACGGAGGAUGCGAGCGUUAUCCGGAUUUAUUGGGUUUAAAGGGUGCGCAGGCGGGAGAUCAAGUCAGCGGUAAAAUAUCGGGGCUCAACCCCGGCCGGCCGUUGAAACUGGUUUUCUAGAGUUGGAGAGAAGUAUGCGGAAUUCGUGGUGUAGCGGUGAAAUGCAUAGAUAUCACGAAGAACUCCGAUUGCGAAGGCAGCAUACCGGCUCCAUACUGACGCUGAGGCACGAAAGCGUGGGGAUCGAACAGGAUUAGAUACCCGUGUAGUC
rnacentral:rRNA from 1 species